rnacentral:rRNA from 1 species
GGUCGAGUGAUCCUGCGCCGAAGAUUUCCGGGGCUAAAACUUACUACCGAAGCUACGGCAUCAGUAAUGAUGGGUAGGGGAGCUUCCCAUACGGGUUGAAGCAUGACCGUAAGGACAUGUGGACAGUAUGGGAGUGAGAAUGUUGGCAUGAGUAGCGAGAUGUGGGUGAGAAUCCCACAGGCCGUAAACCCAAGGUUUCCAGGGGAAGGUUCGUCCGCCCUGGGUUAGUCGGGACCUAAGCUGAGGCCGAAAGGCGUAGGUGAUGGACAACAGGUUGAUAUUCCUGUACUACCGAUAACCGUUUGAGAGAAGGGAUGACACAGUAGGAUAAGCUAAGCACACUGUUGGUUAUGUGUGCCCAAGCAUUGAGGCAGUCAAAGUAGGCAAAUCCGCUUUGAUAAUGCUGGGAUGUGAUGGGGAGCGAAAUUUAGUAGCGAAGUAGCUGAUUUCACACUGUCAAGAAAAGUCUCUAUCGAGGUUAAAGGUACCCGUACCGCAAACCGACACAGGUGGGUGAGGAGAGUAUCCUAAGGCCAGCGAGAGAACUGUUGUUAAGGAACUCGGCAAAAUGACCCCGUAACUUAGGGAUAAGGGGUGCCACCAUCAGGUGGCCGCAGAGAAUAGGCCCAAGCGACUGUUUACCAAAAACAUAGGUUUCUGCUAAGUCGCAAGACGAUGUAUAGGAGCUGACGCCUGCCCGGUGCUGGAAGGUUAAGGGGAUCUGUUAGAGCAAUCGAAGCAGUGAACUUAAGCCCCAGUAAACGGCGGCCGUAACUAUAACGGUCCUAAGGUAGCGAAAUUCCUUGUCGGGUAAGUUCCGACCCGCACGAAAGGCGUAACGAUUUGGGCACUGUCUCAACAACAGACUCGGUGAAAUUGUAAUUCCGGUGAAGAUGCCGGAUACCUGCGACAGGACGGAAAGACCCCAUGGAGCUUUACUGUAGCUUGACAUUGGGUCUUGGUACUACAUGUACAGGAUAGGUGGGAGGCUUUGAAACCAGGACGCCAGUUUUGGCGGAGCCAUCCUUGGGAUACCACCCUUGUAGUACUGGGACUCUAACCAUAGGCCAUGAAUCUGGUCUUGGGACACUGUCAGGUGGGCAGUUUGACUGGGGCGGUCGCCUCCCAAAAGGUAACGGAGGCGCUCAAAGGUUCUCUCAGUACGGUCGGAAAUCGUACGUAGAGUGUAAAGGCAAAAGAGAGCUUGAUUGCAAGACAUACAGGUCGAGCAAGGAUGAAAAUCGGACUUAGUGAUCCGGUGGUUCUGCGUGGAAGGGCCAUCGCUCAACGGAUAAAAGCUACCCUGGGGAUAACAGGCUUAUCUCCCCCAAGAGUCCACAUCGACGGGGAGGUUUGGCACCUCGAUGUCGGCUCAUCACAUCCUGGGGCUGUAGUAGGUCCCAAGGGUUGGGCUGUUCGCCCAUUAAAGUGGUACGCGAGCUGGGUUCAGAACGUCGUGAGACAGUUCGGUCCCUAUCCGUCGCAGGCGUAGGAAAUUUGAGAAGACCUGUCCUUAGUACGAGAGGACCGGGAUGGACGUACCUCUGGUGUACCAGUUGUCCUGCCAAGGGCAUGGCUGGGUAGCUAUGUACGGAAUGGAUAAGCGCUGAAAGCAUCUAAGCGCGAAGCCAACUUCAAGAUAAGAUUUCCCACCGCAAGGGUAAGACCCCAGAAAGACUAUCUGGUUGAUAGGUCGAAGGUGUAAGUGCAGCAAUGUAUUUAGCUUAUCGAUACUAAUAGGUCGAGGACUUGACCAAU